ensembl:lncRNA
GUGACUGAAGCGCCCGCAGGUGCCUGUGCCUGUGUAUCCCGACAAUAAACCAAAUCCUCUUGCUGAUUGCAUCCUGUGGUGUCUCGGUCUGGUCUUUGGAGUUAGAGGGUCUCCAUCCCGAGGGAAAGUUCUCCCUGAGAGCUUUUCAUUUGGUGCAUUGGCCGGGAAAGGAGAUCCUCCACCCAGGGACCACCGACCACCCACUGGGAGGUAAGCCGGCCGGCGUCUGUCUGUCUGUCUGAUUUUGUCUCGUUCUGUCUUAUUCUGUCUGUUCUGUGAGCGCUCAGCCAGGUCUGUUCUGUGAGCGCUCAGCCAGGUUCUGUGAGCGCUCAGCCAGGUCUGUUCUGUGAGCGCUCAGCCAGGUUGUUUGGAAUUUGGGCGGGACGAAGAAGGAGCUGACGAGCUCGGACUUCUCGCCCCGCAGCCCUGGAAGACGUUCCAAGGGUGUUGGGGCCCGACUUUUCGGGGCCCAAUCUGGGAGAGGAGAAAGAUCCGGACUAACGGCACUCUGUCUGUAUUUUUGGCUUUCAGAGGGCCCCGGACCUUUGCCACCUCCAUCUGACUUUUUGCUUUCAGUUUGGUACCAAAGCCGUGCAGCACGCCUGUCUGUUGUUUGUUUGACUGUUGGUGUUGUUUGUUUUCUCUGUGUUCUAAUCUUCCUUAGAACUAACAUGGGACAGUCCCUAACAAUGCCCCUAAGUCUCACUCUUGAUCAUUAGAAAGACGUCCACGACCGGGCACACAACCAGUCCGUCGAGGUUAAAAAAGGAAAAUGACAGACUCUCUACACAUCCGAGUGGCCCACUUUCGGAGCGGGAUGGCCAG